CCUACGGGAGGCAGCAGUGAGGAAUAUUGGUCAAUGGGCGGGAGCCUGAACCAGCCAAGCCGCGUGAGGGAAGAAGGUACAGCGUAUCGUAAACCUCUUUUGUCAGGGAACAAAGGCGGGCACUAGUCCCCUGAUGCGUGUACCUUAAGAAAAAGCAUCGGCUAACUCCGUGCCAGCAGCCGCGGUAAUACGGAGGAUGCGAGCGUUAUCCGGAUUUAUUGGGUUUAAGGGGUGCGCAGGCGGCCUGUUAAGUCGGCGGUAAAAGCCCGGGGCUCAACCCCGGCGAGCCGUUGAAACUGGCGGGCUGGAGUUGGAGAGAAGUACGCGGAAUGCGCGGUGUAGCGGUGAAAUGCGUAGAUAUCAGGAGGAACACCGGUGGCGAAGGCGGCCUGCUGGACUGCGACUGACGUUGAGGCCCGAAAGCGUGGGGAGCAAACAGGAUUAGAUACCCUAGUAGUC
rnacentral:rRNA from 1 species